UUCUGACGUCUCCAAACUGGGGCAUCGCGUCGCAUUUUACGUGACGACGAGAGGUAAAGGGGCAGAGAAGGUCCGUUGUUCCAGGACAGAGGCCAUGUCUCCCAGACCUGGUUGUCUGCUUGGCACAAGCCCGGGGGCGGGGACGGCCUUCCACCCGCCCUCCUCUGCCCGUGACUUCUGGCCUGACCCCAACUGAAGGGGCCGGACAGCUGCUGGCCAGCCUCUUCCCCCGCCCACGUGAUUUGCCCACUUCCCGAGCUGGACCCGGAACCUCAGGGCCCUCGGGGAAGACCAUGGUCAUGAUACACAGAAGGAGAUGCUGGGAGUAAAGGACUCAGGGCCCAGAUAUCCUAGACGCCUCUAACGUCAAGAGGAGGCCAAAGAUUCGCCCGCCCUGAAUGAUGACUUCUGACUCUCCAUCCGUCACAGAACAGAGCAAGUGGGGAGAUCCGUGUGCGCUCCCCCGGCGGUGAGCGGCGGCCGAGGACCCGAUUUGUCUCCCCUGCUUUCCUCCCGUGUAACGCAUGUUCACAAACAACAUAUUUGCCUGAGUUAUUUAUGCAAAGCAGCAUUAGUACAUAGUUUUGGCCUCUUGUUUUCUCGUUGAAAAAUAAUUUGCGGAAAUCCCGUCAAAUUA